rnacentral:rRNA from 1 species
GACGGAGGGUGCAAGUGUUAUCCGGAAUCACUGGGCGUAAAGCGUCUGUAGGUGGUCUAAUAAGUCAACUGUUAAAUCUUGAGGCUCAACCUCAAAAUCGCAGUCGAAACUAUUGGACUAGAGUAUAGUAGGGGUAAAGGGAAUUUCCAGUGGAGCGGUGAAAUGCGUAGAGAUUGGAAAGAACACCAAUGGCGAAAGCACUUUACUGGGCUAUGACUGACACUGAGAGACGAAAGCUAGGGUAGCAAAUGGG